UACGUAGGGCGCAAGCGUUGUCCGGAAUUAUUGGGCGUAAAGAGCUCGUAGGCGGCCAGUUGCGUCCGCUGUGAAAUCCCAGGGCUUAACCCUGGGCGUGCAGUGGACACGGGCUGGCUGGAGGCAGGCAGGGGAGAACGGAAUUCCCGGUGUAGCGGUGAAAUGCGCAGAUAUCGGGAGGAACACCGGUGGCGAAGGCGGUUCUCUGGGCCUGUGCUGACGCUGAGGAGCGAAAGCGUGGGGAGCGAACAGG
rnacentral:rRNA from 1 species